rnacentral:rRNA from 1 species
UACGUAGGGGGCAAGCGUUGUCCGGAGUUACUGGGCGUAAAGCGCACGCAGGCGGUCUCUUAAGUUUGGAGUGACAGUUGGUGGUUUAACUGCCAAAGUGCUUCGAAAACUGAGAGACUUGAGGGCUUCAGAGGGACACGGAAUUCCGGGUGGAGUGGUGAAAUGCGUAGAGAUCCGGAGGAACACCAAAGGCGAAGGCAGUGUCCUGGGGAGUACCUGACGCUCAGGUGCGAAAGCCAGGGGAGCGAACAGG